AAAAUUAAAAGGCUUCACUCGCUGGAGGAGGUGUAGGCUUCCCUCCACAUCUCUAUGCCCCCCCCAACACAAAACUCCUCCCUUCCCUCGUUUUCUGCUCUCUCUCUCUCUCUCUCUAACUAAAACCCUCGCCUCCCCCUUCUCUCUCCUCCUCCGCCGUCGCCGCCGGGAUCUUCGAAUCGAACUCCGCUUUAAAACGAUCCAUGUCCGGCGGCGUACGAUCUUCCCCUGGUUCUUCUCGCCAGCCGCCGCCGCCACCGCAGCAUCCGGCGGCAUCUGUGCCCGUGGUGCCACCAAUACGUCGACACUUAGCGUUCGCCUCAACGAAACCGCCGUUCCAUCCCUCGGAUAACUACCACCGAUUCACCCCUUCGCACCUCGCUAACAACCUCGUCAAUGGCUGUGGAGGACUCGUAGAUCGGGAGGAGGACGCCGUCGUUCUUAGAUCUCCUUCACGGAAGAGAAAGUCGACUAUGGAUGUGGUUACUACUACUACCACUUCUACUAGUAAUGGAUUCACGAGUUCUGAUGGUUUCACUAGCAGUCCCUGCCGAACUCCGGUUUCAGCAAAAGGAGACAGAGUCAACAUCAAGUCAAAAGCCAAAGGAAACCAGUCCAUUCCCCAAACACCCAUCUCAAAUAUUGGUUCUCCUGCCACACUAACUCCUUCUGGAAGUUGCCGUUAUGACAGUUCUUUAGGUCUCCUUACGAAAAAGUUCGUCAAUCUUAUCAAACAAGCCAAAGAUGGAAUGCUGGACCUGAACAAAGCUGCAGAGACAUUGGAGGUGCAGAAACGUCGUAUAUAUGAUAUUACAAACGUUUUGGAGGGGAUUGAUCUCAUUGAAAAGCCUUUGAAGAACCGAAUCCUUUGGAAGGGAGUUGAUGCUUUGAGGCCUGGCGAUGUGGAUGCUGAUGUUUCUGACGUACAGGCAGAAAUUGAAAACCUUUCCCUCGAGGAACAAGCGCUAGAUAACCAAAUCAGAGAAACGGAGCAAAGAUUAAGAGAUCUGAGCGAAAAUGAAAAAAAUCAGAAAUGGCUUUUUGUAACUGAAGAGGACAUCAAGAGUUUACCCGGUUUCCAGAACCAGACACUGAUAGCCGUCAAAGCUCCUCAUGGCACAACUUUGGAAGUCCCUGAUCCAGAUGAGGCGGUUGGCCACCCUCAAAGGAGAUACAGGAUCAUCCUCAGAAGUACAAUGGGUCCUAUUGACGUAUACCUUGUUAGUGAAUUUGAGGAGAAGUUUGAAGACACAAAUGGCCCUGCUGCACCACCACCACCACCACCAUGCUUGCCUAUUGCUUCUUGCUCGGGAUCUACAGAAAACCAUAACAUAGAAGCCUUAACUGUUGAUAACACAGGAACUGCCGUUGAGGAUCAGUUGUCUCAAACCCAUGCAAAUGCUCAACCCGGCGAGACCUCUGAUCUUAACUAUUUGGAGGAGCAGGUAGGUGGAAUGCUUAAGAUUACUCCCUCUGAAGUCGAAAAUGAUGAUACGGAUUACUGGCUUCUCUCCAAUGCGGACAUUAGCAUGACAGAUAUUUGGAAAACAGACUCUGGUAUCGAUUGGGACUAUGGAAUAGCCGAUGUGAGUACUCCACCACCGAUAAUCGGUGACAUAUCCCCAACCGCUAUUGACUCAAUCCCGAGAUGAUGCAAAAAGGUCAAACAUGCAUCUCAUCCCAAAUGCUUUUCUUUCUCAACAACUCUUGGCGCCCCAAUCAAAUCUAAGGAGGGACCAAAUACAGAAACGUGUAUGGACCAAUGGCAGAAAGGGCGCUCCACGUUUAUGUACGUUACUAUGAUGCGGCCUCAGACCUGGAGUUAGAACGUCGAAGCCUGGCUCGGGCAUCGGUGAUGGGUGAUCCUGGAAUUGUAUCUGGAAUGUCGACUCCUUCUCCGUUGAACGUUCUGGCUGCUUCUCGGCCUGGUGUUUGGGGUGGUGUCGGUGGUGGCCACUUCCUCCCCCUGCUCGUUUGCUUCUCUAGCGAUCGCAACGCUGAUAAUGAUUUGUUCAACGCUCUAGGGGCGGGUGGUGAGUUCGGUUCACUCUCUGUCUCCACCGGUGACUGCGUUUUAACGUUCACGUUCGGCUUCACAAGUAACACAAAAGGGUCAGACAUUAUCAAGUAGUACUAACAUAUGUGAACUGAGAGACGAUAUUUUAAGGCAACCGAUGGGUUAGUACCGGUUGGUUAGCUGCGGCUGCAGCAGGGAACCGGAGCGAUUGGGCGAGUACAUAUUGAAAAGCCUGAAUGAAGGUGGAUUGAGCAGCCUGGGCAAAAUUGUGGAAAUAGAAUAU